rnacentral:rRNA from 1 species
AAAUGAAUUGACGGGGGCCCGCACAAGCGGAGGAACAUGUGGUUUAAUUCGAUGAUACGCGAGGAACCUUACCCGGGCUUGAAUUGCAGACUGAUCCGGCAGAGAUGCCGGAGUCCUUCGGGAAGUCUGUGAAGGUGCUGCAUGGUUGUCGUCAGCUCGUGCCGUGAGGUGUCGGCUUAAGUGCCAUAACGAGCGCAACCCCUAUUUUCAGUUGCCAUCAGUUUAAGCUGGGCACUCUGGAGAGACUGCCGCCGCAAGGUGUGAGGAAGGCGGGGAUGACGUCAAAUCAGCACGGCCCUUACGUCCGGGGCUACACACGUGUUACAAUGGCCGGUACAACAAGAGGGCUGCCCGCAAGGUCAGUCAAAUCCUGAAAACCGGUCUCAGUUCGGACUGGAGUCUGCAACUCGACUCCACGAAGCUGGAUUCGCUAGUAAUCGCGCAUCAGCCAUGGCGCGGUGAAUACGUUCCCGGGCCUUGUACACACCGCCCGU